rnacentral:rRNA from 1 species
CGACAGGCCUAACACAUGCAAGUCGAGGGGCAGCACAAGGAGCGAUCUGAGGUGGCGACCGGCGCACGGGUGAGUAACACGUAUGCAACCUGCCUGUAAGGCGGGAAUAACCCGUAGAAAGACGGACUAAUACCGCAUAAUACUAAAUUACUGCAUGGUAAUUUAUUUAAACAUUUAUGGCUUACAGAUGGGCAUGCGCAUGAUUAGCUAGUUGGAGAGGUAACGGCUCCCCAAGGCAACGAUCAUUAGGGGUUCUGAGAGGAAGGUCCCCACACUGGUACUGAGACACGGACCAGACUCCUACGGGAGGCAGCAGUGAGGAAUAUUGGUCAAUGGACGAGAGUCUGAACCAGCCAAGUCGCGUGCAGGAAGAAUGUCCUUAAUGGAUUGUAAACUGCUUUUGCAGGGGAAUAAAGUGCAUCACGUGUGAUGUUUUGUAUGUACUCUGCGAAUAAGGAUCGGCUAACUCCGUGCCAGCAGCCGC